UACGGAGGGGGCUAGCGUUGUUCGGAAUUACUGGGCGUAAAGCGCGCGUAGGCGGACCUGCAAGUCGGGGGUGAAAGCCCGAGGCUCAACCUCGGAACUGCCUUCGAUACUGCGGGUCUCGAGUCCGGGAGAGGUGAGUGGAAUUCCUAGUGUAGAGGUGAAAUUCGUAGAUAUUAGGAAGAACACCUGUGGCGAAAGCGGCUCACUGGACCACAACUGACGCUGAGGCGCGAAAGCUAGGGGAGCAAACAGG
rnacentral:rRNA from 1 species